GACGAACGCUGGCGGCGUGCCUAAUACAUGCAAGUAGAACGCUGAAGAGAGGAGCUUGCUCUUCUUGGAUGAGUUGCGAACGGGUGAGUAACGCGUAGGUAACCUGCCUUGUAGCGGGGGAUAACUAUUGGAAACGAUAGCUAAUACCGCAUAACAAUGGAUGACACAUGUCAUUUAUUUGAAAGGGGCAAUUGCUCCACUACAAGAUGGACCUGCGUUGUAUUAGCUAGUAGGUGAGGUAAUGGCUCACCUAGGCGACGAUACAUAGCCGACCUGAGAGGGUGAUCGGCCACACUGGGACUGAGACACGGCCCAGACUCCUACGGGAGGCAGCAGUAGGGAAUCUUCGGCAAUGGGGGCAACCCUGACCGAGCAACGCCGCGUGAGUGAAGAAGGUUGUCGGAUCGUAAAGCUCUGUUGUAAGUCAAGAGCGGGUGUGAGAGUGGAAAGUUCACACUGUGACGGUAGCUUACCAGAAAGGGACGGCUAACUACGUG
rnacentral:rRNA from 1 species